rnacentral:misc_RNA from 1 species
AACGCAAGUUGCGCCAGAUUGUGAGAUUUGGCAUGUUUGUAUGAGGGUUGUGAACCAUGAAAAUGAAAUGAAGUUAUUUCAAUUUUAGACAUAAAAUUGAAAUUGCUUUGAAAAUCACAUAUGAAAAAGUUUGAAAGAAAGAAUGAAAAAAAGGGUAUGAUGUUUUUUUGAAAGAGAAAAGCAUGACCAAUUUCGGCUGCAAAGCUGAUUUUAAUCAUCAUGUUUUUAUCAACCAAAAACACCUCUUAUCCAUUUCUUUUAUUUUCUAUUAUAACCUCAUAUCAAACAAGAAUACCCGCUGAACUUAA